AUAGAGACUCAGAGCUGCAUAUCAAUAAGCGGAGGAAAAGAAACUAACAAGGAUUCCCUUAGUAACGGCGAGUGAAGCGGGAAGAGCUCAAAUUUGAAAUCUUCAAGGUUCUACCUUGACGAAUUGUAGUUUAUAGAAGUGUUUUCUGUUAGUGGAGUGGCAGAAGUUCUUUGGAAUAGGACAUCAUAGAGGGUGAGAAUCCCGUAUUUGGUCAUUCCUCCUAGCGUUGUGAUACACUUUCAACGAGUCGGAUUGUUUGGGAAUGCAGUCCAAAAUGGGUGGUAAAUUUCAUCUAAAGCUAAAUAUUGGCGAGAGACCGAUAGCGAACAAGUACCGUGAGGGAAAGAUGAAAAGAACUUUGAAAAGAGAGUUAAACAGUACGUGAAAUUGUCAAAAGGGAAGCGUUUGACACCAGUGUUGUUUUUCCGAAAAUCAAUUACGAAUGUUUUAUUUUUGAGGAGUUAUGACUUCAUCGGCUUGCUCCUUUCUUUACUGAAACUUUCUUAAUGCACUUUUCGGUUAACAAGUCAACAUCAAUUUCUUUUGUUGUAAAAGGGUAUGAGGAAGGUGGCUUUCUUUUCGGAGAAAGUGUUUAUAGCCUUGUGCCUCUGCAAUCGGAGAGAUUGAGGUCUGCAGCGUAGAUCCUUCGGGGUUAGAUACGUUUGUGCUAAGUUAUAGCUUUUCAUAGACAACUUGUUGACUAUGUUUAGUCUUGUAGCUUACUCGCUUACGCUAUUUUACCUACGCUUAGGAUGUUGAUAGUCACAGCGUGUAC
rnacentral:rRNA from 1 species